GUACUUGCUUCCCACGCACAUGUAUUCAAACUGGAACAAUACAGAGAUCAGCAUGACCCCUGCACAAAGAUGACGGCAAAUUUGUGAAGCAUUCCAUAUUUUU